GGGAAAAUGACAUCGCUCAGUGGUAGAACAUCUGCCUUGUAUGCAGAUGGUCCCAGGUUCGAUCCCUGGAAUACCCA